rnacentral:rRNA from 1 species
CAACAGGGAUUGCCCUAGUAACGGCGAGUGAAGCGGCAACAGCUCAAAUUUGAAAUCUGGCUCUUUCAGAGUCCGAGUUGUAAUUUGCAGAGGGCGCUUUGGCGUUGGCAGCGGUCCAAGUUCCUUGGAACAGGACGUCACAGAGGGUGAGAAUCCCGUACGUGGUCGCUAGCCAUCGCCGUGUAAAGCCCCUUCGACGAGUCGAGUUGUUUGGGAAUGCAGCUCUAAAUGGGAGGUAAAUUUCUUCUAAAGCUAAAUACUGGCCAGAGACCGAUAGCGCACAAGUAGAGUGAUCGAAAGAUGAAAAGCACUUUGGAAAGAGAGUCAAAUAGCACGUGAAAUUGUUGAAAGGGAAGCGCUUGCAGCCAGACUUGCCUGUAGUUGCUCAUCCGGGCUUUUGCCCGGUGCACUCUUCUGCGGGCAGGCCAGCAUCAGUUUGGGCGGUUGGAUAAAGGUCUCUGUCAUGUACCUCUCUUCGGGGAGAACUUAUAGGGGAGACGACAUGCAACCAGCCUGGACUGAGGUCCGCGCAUUUGCUAGGAUGCUGGCGUAAUGGCUGUAAGCGGCCCGUCUUGAAACACGGACCAAGGAGUCUAACAUCUAUGCGAGUGUUUGGGUGUCAAGCCCGAGCGCGUAAUGAAAGUGAACGGAGGUGGGACCCCAUUAGGGUGCACCAUCGACCGAUCCUGAUGUCUUCGGAUGGAUUUGAGUAAGAGCAUGGCUGUUGGGACCCGAAAGAUGGUGAACUAUGCUUGAAUAGGGUGAAGCCAGAGGAAACUCUGGUGGAGGCUCGCAGCGGUUCUGACGUGCAAAUCGAUCGUCAAAUUUGGGCAUAGGGGCGAAAGACUAAUCG